rnacentral:rRNA from 1 species
UGCCAGCCGCCGCGGUAAUACGGAGGGUGCAAGCGUUAUCCGGAAUCACUGGGUUUAAAGGGUGCGUAGGCGGGUAUAUAAGUCAGAGGUGAAAGCUCACAGCUUAACUGUGGAAUUGCCUUUGAUACUGUAUAUCUUGAAUUGUGUUGAGGUUAGCGGAAUGAGUCAUGUAGCGGUGAAAUGCAUAGAUAUGACUUAGAACACCAAUUGCGAAGGCAGCUAGCUAGGCAUUGAUUGACGCUGAGGCACGAAAGCGUGGGGAGCGAACAGGAUUAGAUA